rnacentral:lncRNA from 1 species
GCCAGCGAGGCCAUGAGAAGAAUGGAUGAGGUUUUAGCUCAAGCGAGAGAUUCUUUCUGCUGAGGUUGGAGUCCUGGGGGUCAGGCAGUGGAGGGCUCUGGGUGUCAGCCCACCAUGAUUUCAUCGCUGCUGGAGUUCACAAGACGUCUACAAAUACGUCAAACUGCUGGGGCCCACUGUGCAACAAGGAGGAAAAAGGACCUCUGCUGUCCCUGCAUUUAAUCAGAAUCUGAAGAACUACAGCCAAAUGCCUGAAUCUGUAAUAUUUGGAUGG